ACAGCUUGUGCACUGAGUGACCCCAUACAGUUCUAUGCCGAACGUUUGCAUUCAGCUUUGUCAGAUAGCGCUGGGACCAAUGAUAAAAUGCUGAUCAGAAUUAUAGUCUCCAGAUCAGAGAUUGACCUGGCUGAGAUAAAGCAAAAGUAUGCAGAACUCUAUGGAGUCAGCUUGGCACAGAGUAUAGAGGGCGACUGUGGAGGAGAGUACAAGACAAUGCUGCUGGCACUUCUGGGAAAAUGAGCAAUGUUGGCCAUAAUGUGUUUGGUAACAAGAAUUGAAGAGAGAUGAUGAACACUGGAUCAGGGUUAUACCUAAAGCCUUUCAAGUAACCAGUGGGCAAACCAAUAUGAAAAAGUCCACUUGACAACAGAGGGAGUAAAAUAAAAGCAAAAUGGUUGAUUUGAUAUCUGUUCUAAUAUUUUUGAUGAGAUGGCUUUUUAAUGGUAUUGAAAUAUCUAAAAUUGUAUAUAAUUCUUUAAAAAAAUAGAAAAAACCAUAAUCACAGCAUAUAAUAGUCAAACUUUCAAGGUGCAUAAAUACAGGGUUGCCAACUCUACAUAUUCCCCUGUAUUAUACACUGUAUUGUUUAGUAUCAAUUCCUUUUGUUUUCAGGUGUUAUUGUACUGUUAAUAACAUGUUUAACAAUAGAACUACGCAUUUUGAGUACUGUAAUGUUGGCAGCCCUGAACUCUCGUGCAGUUUUGUCACAAAAUUAUUUUCUCUGUCAUAUUGAUGUCAGUUCCAUGUGGUCUUCCCUGCUGGGCUCUGUGGGUUCCAUGACCAUAUUUAUUGCAAUAGAUCUUUAAGUCAGACAAUCGGGUAAAUAAUCAUUACUUAUGUAGGAUCUAGUCACUUAUAAUAAUAUGUUAAAAUGAUAUAUUUUAAAAGAAAAUCAGUGUACAUACCAUUGCAAAUAUGUAAGUCAUAGUGAUGAUUUUGUAGUGAAUCUAAAAGAGGAUAGUGCAUGGUCUUCUUUGUAUCUUAAGAACUGAAAUUAAGUUGCAUUUGAAAAAAAAAUACUCUUUUGUGCUUGAAAACAUAAUACAUUGUAUUGAUACAUGUCAUGUAAUGUUAUAACAACAGCAUAUUUUUCAUUCUUAAGUCUUUUAAUAUUUCAUAUAUCAUAGUUAAAUCAAAACUGAUUUUGAUAAAAUAUAUUAUAAUUGCUUUACUAAAUUUAUUGCAAUACAAAUGUAACAGAGUAAAAGUAUAUAACAUCGCAAGCCUAAGAAAGGUAUUAUACAAUUAAUCAAAACAGGGUUUUGAUACAGUAAAAGACACUUAAAGUGCAUGGUUUUAUACUGUUUUAGCUUAAUGCCAAGGAAAUCAACAUUUUUAUAUUUACAUAUUAUAUAUUUAUCUUAAUACUGUAUAGUCAUUGCUUUUUAUCAUCAUUUGUUGUAUAACUCAUCUUCAAUUUAGAUAAGUAGCCUACAGCCUACAGGGUAGUUGAAUUAACAUGCCAGCAUUUUGUCAUAUAACAUGGAAGACUUCAAAACAAGCAAAUGCCAUCCACCUGAGCUCAUCACCCCAGGUGUCAAGGUCUUGAAACUUCCCCUUUUAUGUACAGAAGUGGCUAUUUGCCUGAAAGUUUGUUUUAUUUAUUAUUUUGGUUAUUUUUAUUAAAAAAAAGAGAGAUGGGGGGUUCAAACUUUUAAUCUCAGGGUGGUGAGUUGGUGUUCUUGCCAUGGUCUGUAGGGUAAGCUUUUUUAUUUUACUAAAUUAUUUUGACAUUGUUUUUUUUUUUUUUUUUUUUUUUGUAUUACAGAGUAGCACAAAAGUUGUGUAAUUGAAUUUUAUGCUUUGCUAAUAAGGAAAACUGAAUGCUUUAUUUUGAUCUUUUAAUACUUGUAUGAAUCUUCAUAUUUUCAUUGUUUUAUCUGCUGGGCAAUGUUAACCUCGGUAGAAAGGGUUUAAGAAACAUUUGUUAAGCUUCACAGGGUUCCUGUUAACCAUAGAAAAAAAAAGGUGAAAACGCAAUGACGAAUAAAUA